UACGAAGGGUGCAAGCGUUACUCGGAAUUACUGGGCGUAAAGCGUGCGUAGGUGGUGGUUUAAGUCUGCUGUGAAAGCCCUGGGCUCAACCUGGGAAUUGCAGUGGAUACUGGAUUACUAGAGUGUGGUAGAGGGAUGCGGAAUUUCUGGUGUAGCAGUGAAAUGCGUAGAGAUCAGAAGGAACAUCCGUGGCGAAGGCGGCAUCCUGGGCCAACACUGACACUGAGGCACGAAAGCGUGGGGAGCAAACAGG
rnacentral:rRNA from 1 species